rnacentral:rRNA from 1 species
AUUGAACGCUGGCGGCAGGCCUAACACAUGCAAGUCGAGCGGCAGCGGGGGGAAGCUUGCUUUCCUGCCGGCGAGCGGCGGACGGGUGAGUAAUGUCUGGGAAACUGCCUGAUGGAGGGGGAUAACUACUGGAAGCGGUAGCUAAUACCGCAUAACGUCUUCGGACCAAAGUGGGGGACCUUCGGGCCUCAUGCCAUCAGAUGUGCCCAGAUGGGAUUAGCUAGUAGGUGGGGUAACGGCUCACCUAGGCGACGAUCCCUAGCUGAUCUGAGAGGAUGACCAGCCACACUGGAACUGAGACACGGUCCAGACUCCUACGGGAGGCAGCAGUGGGGAAUAUUGCACAAUGGGCGCAAGCCUGGUGCAGCCAUGCCGCGUGUAUGAAGAAGGCCAUCGGGUUGUAAAGUACUUUCAGCGGGGAGGAAGGUGUUGUGGUUAAUAACCGCAGCAAUUGACGUUACCCGCAGAAGAAGCACCGGCUAACUCCGUGCCAGCCGCCGCUGUAAUAC